CUGGUCUUUUCGCAGUUAUGGACUCUCGUGACAUCAGGAUCCAUGGUGAAACACCAUGGUGUUGGUUCAUCUCCACCUGCAUUUCUACAAUAAUUUUCUCCAUAACGAAUUUGAGGGAAGACAUCUGGUGGCCUGUCAUGACUGUGCGGUACUUGUGCAUUCCAUGACUGACAAUCCAAGCCAAAUUUUGUUUUAUUUACUUUACCCAUAUAAAAUCUACCAUUGCCUUUAAUACAGUCAUCUGGAAACAACAAAUAAUUAAGACCUUGGUGCUAUCUACAUUUAAUUAUCCUAAAAAAAAAUGUUUAAUUUGCUUUACAUGUAACAAGAGUUUCAUUCAUAUCAGUUAAAUUUAUAUGAGAACAUGUCAUUUUUCCUUUAACUACUUUUGGCAGUGAUUCACAUUCUGGUAAUGUAAAAUGUCCCCUUGAUCUGAUGUAAAUAUCUCUUUGCUUGUUGUCUUCUAUCAUUGCCCAAUCAUUAAAACAGAACUGAUGACGUACAGCCAUACAAUCUUCAUAACAUAAUGGUAGGCCAACUGAGUUAGGACAUUGUGGAAAAGCAUACAUACAUAGCAUUUUCUAUAAUAAUUGAAACAUUGAUAUUAUAUUUCUUUGUAACACCAAAUUACAUGACUCUUUGCUGUUUUAAAGUAAAUUACCUCUGCAGCUGAACGACAUGGCUCAACAAGCCUCUGUAUCAGUUCCUCCCACAAAUUGGUUGUAAUACGUUCAUUCAGCCAACCACCAGGGUUAUCAUUAGAAUCAUUAAACCAUACUUUUCCAAUUCCAGUUAAAUAUUUCUUGCAAAUCUGUCCAUUAUAUUGUGCACAAUAACCUUGUGAUUCAGGUUCUAAAAACAUAAAAAAUGUGAAUUAAUGAUACUUCCUUCUAAACUCAGCAUAUUCUUUAUGCUAUACUUUUUCAAAUACAUACUGGUUUGUGCAGAACUGAAAUGCAAAAUAAUUGCUACUAGGGAAACAAUCCAGAACACCAUUAUUUACAUAUAAUAGUUGAAAGAACGUCAAGAAAAUAUAUCACAUGUUUAAAACAAAAUUCAUCACGAUGAAAAAUUCGUUGACACCAGUGUUUAUUUAAUUAAUACUAAAUCGUAUCAAAUUCAGGGUACAAAUCAAACAUUUCUUAAUACACAGUGGAUUAGGAUACUUCAUUCUAGGCGCUAAUUUAACUUUCACGCUUUUAUUGGUGUACUCAGUAACCACUGAAUGAAUAUUGCAAUUAUCGAUUGUAAUUUUUUAAACCGUUUUCAAUGGGGGCAAUACAAUAAUUCAACAAAAAUAGAGUUAGCGUACUAAGCUAUAGUAUCGAGCACAUAAUUCGUUGUAUAAAAAGAUGAACAAACUAUUCGCAAAUAAAUCUUUCUGUAACAUACAUAUAA